GACGAACGCUGGCGGCGUGCUUAACACAUGCAAGUCGAGCGGUAAGGCCUUUCGGGGUCCACGAGCGGCGAACGGGUGAGUAACACGUGGGUGAUCUGCCCUGCACUUCGGGAUAAGCCUGGGAAACUGGGUCUAAUACCGGAUAUGACCUCCUAUCGCAUGGUGGGUGGUGGAAAGAUUUAUCGGUGCAGGAUGGGCCCGCGGCCUAUCAGCUUGUUGGUGGGGUAAUGGCCUACCAAGGCGACGACGGGUAGCCGACCUGAGAGGGUGACCGGCCACACUGGGACUGAGACACGGCCCAGACUCCUACGGGAGGCAGCAGUGGGGAAUAUUGCACAAUGGGCGAAAGCCUGAUGCAGCGACGCCGCGUGAGGGAUGACGGCCUUCGGGUUGUAAACCUCUUUCAGCAGGGACGAGGCGCAAGUGACGGUACCUGCAGAAGAAGCACCGGCUAACUACGUG
rnacentral:rRNA from 1 species